UACGUAUGGAGCAAGCGUUAUCCGGAUUUACCGGGUGUAAAGGGAGCGCAGGCGGUACGGCAAGUCCGAUGUGAAAGCCCGGGGCUCAACCCCGGGACUGCAUUGGAAACUGCCGCACUAGAGUGCCGGAGAGGUAAGUGGAAUUCCUAGUGUAGCGGUGAAAUGCGUAGAUAUUAGGAGGAACACCAGUGGCGAAGGCGGCUUACUGGACGGUAACUGACGCUGAGGCUCGAAAGCGUGGGGAGCAAACA
rnacentral:rRNA from 1 species